CCGCCUUAAAUGCUCCCACCUGCUCAUUGCUCAGUCUGCCAUCUUUUUUCUCUCCCAGCUGAUUUUGAAAGUUUGGAGGAGAAUGAAACCUAACAGAACUUUCUGAAGAAAUAGUCUGCUGGCUCCGUGGACUACAGGCUAUGGAUAAAACUGGGCCAGGUGGGCAGGUUGUACCAGUUCCAGCUCCCAUCCCAGGAGGACCUCCUGCCAGCCUCCUUGAUAUCUGCCCACGGCCACAGUCAGCCCCAGCACCAUCUGAACCCUGUGGUGAGGGCAAAAGCCACCAGAAUCUGCCUGCUGAUGGAAAGGGAUGAAGACCAGAGAAAUCAUUAAGCUGAACGAGGGAAAUGGAAAUGUAUAGAGAGGAAGCUGUUCCAGACCCAGGUAGGAAAGACUUGCAGCGCAGGGCAGCAUGAGGUGGGAAAGAAGUUGCUUCCCGUCAGCGCCUUACCCUCCAAACACCAGCACACAUGCACACUCCCCACACACGCACACACUCGCGUGAACACACACCACAAGCACCCACACAAGGAUAAACGGUGACUUCUGCUCAGCUGAGUCUGGGCUUGGGAGCGGCCGAGGAGGUGGUAGGGUGGCAAGGGAGUAAGAAGAAAACAGCAGGGAGCUCUGUAACAGAGCUCAUCGAGCAUCCUGGAGGGCUGGGAAGGAGGGGCUGAGAUGAUUCUGGGGGUGGAAGCCCCAGGAAGACGUGUGCAAGUUCUUGGCGGGGUGUGAUGGUGAUCUGCCAGGCUCCACUUUAGGCUGGGACAACACUCACCUAACCUCGCGGUGUCACCCUGGAUCCGGAGGGAAGUGGCUGCCUUGACUGGCCAAGGCUGACCGUGGGGCGAGGCAGGUGUGGAGGGCUGAGCACGCUGCUCAUACACAGUGCAGGCUCAGCUCACCCUGUGCAGACAUCCCACGAACGACCACAGUAGACAUUUCAGUGCAGGCUUUCUAACACUUGCGUUCUCAAACCUUAAGACAUUCUCCACUCUUCGGUUGCUAAUGUGAAUCACACUUGGCCAUUUUGUUGAAGGUCAAGAAACGUUGCCACCUACAUCAGAGACAUGCAUCUUCUCCUCCCUCCUUUUCCUUUUGAAACGAUAUCCAAACCCCAGUGGUUUCAUUGCCUGGGAGAAUGCUGGACCACACACA
rnacentral:lncRNA from 1 species